UACGGAGGGUGCAAGCGUUAUCCGGAUUCACUGGGUUUAAAGGGUGCGUAGGAGGGCAGGUAAGUCAGUGGUGAAAUCUCCGAGCUUAACUUGGAAACUGCCGUUGAUACUAUCUGCCUUGAAUAUUGUGGAGGUGAGCGGAAUAUGUCAUGUAGCGGUGAAAUGCUUAGAUAUGACAUAGAACACCAAUUGCGAAGGCAGCUCGCUACGCAUAUAUUGACUCUGAGGCACGAAAGCGUGGGGAGCAAACAGG
rnacentral:rRNA from 1 species